rnacentral:lncRNA from 1 species
GGGCAUUUAAGGCUGUUCUAGUGGCAGUGGGGCUGGCUCAGCAAAUCCGUGUCAGUCACUUUCCUCUCAUUUCUAAGUGUACUUUUGUGGCAUUUAAGCAGCCGAUGGUGACAUUGGUGUUGAUCUUUGCGGCUGCUACAGCCCUUACGGAGAGGAGGCACUGGGAGGGACCCAGGAGGGCAAGAGAUGUUUGAAGGUCCUUCCCCCGCAUCUUCUGCCGUUGCUUUUUGUUCGGUUUUGCAAAACAGGGAAAUAGUGACUUGAAGACGCCGCUCUCUGCCUUGUGCCAAAGAACCACAGUAUGCUGCUUUUAUUUUAUUUUUAUUUUUUUGGUAAGACUUGCUAAGAGGACUGAGAUGUUGCAGUUUUUUCUUAAAGAACCAUUUCCUUUGCCUUUAAAUAUAUACAUGAUUAUUUAACACACUGGUGUUAAGUUCAUUCUUGCUGCAAAAGAAGGCCAUUGUACUUCCUGACCCCGAAAGCAAGACCUUGGUACUUUGAGCAAAGGAGAGCCUUCACCUCCGUUCCACCAUUUGGUUUUGACAACCGUAGCAAAUAACUCUCUGCGUUCCUGUGGCCAACUGUUUGUGGCUGAGGGCAAAUCGUGGAAUGGAGACUGGUGGAAUUUCGCUGUGCUACAGAAAUUAGGAGCAACCACAACAUUAAAAGCAACAGCAGGUACCAUAAAUCUGAACUUUGGGAGGAAAAAAAAGAAUAAAAGUAAAACAUGUGGAUGUAUAGGCUGCUACGUUGCCAAGUUGAAGACAGUUUUCCUAAAAAACAACAAACAAGCCUUUCUACAAAGAAAUCAUAUUUUAUUUUGGAUUGCAUUUAAAAUGUGAAGGUACAAAGAAGAUUUCUAAACAAUUAAUCACUCAGUCAAUUUCUACAAAGCCAUUUCACCUCUUCAGGGCACUUCUUUUUUUACCACUAUUAAAAAAAAUACUUUCUUGGGGCUCCUGGGUGGCUCAGUCGGUUAAGU